UGGGAGCUUUGAGUCAAUGCAGCAAAAGUCUGCACGCUCCAUCAUCAUCAUCAUCCCAGGUGAAGCCGCAACGAGAUGCAAUGGCCACUCCAUCUCCAGCCAAGAGUAUGGGCGACCCAGGCAUCACGCCACUUUCCCCCACACACAUACUGAAGGACUCCGAAGAAAAUGAGCCUACGAGACACCCCUAUGUGGUGGUGGUGGCCAUCGACUUUGGCACCACCUCCAGUGGCUAUGCAUAUGCCUUCACUAAAGAGCCAGAGUGCAUUCACACU